GACGAACGCUGGCGGCGUGCCUAAUACAUGCAAGUUGAGCGCUGAAGGUUGGUACUUGUACCAACUGGAUGAGCAGCGAACGGGUGAGUAACGCGUGGGGAAUCUGCCUUUGAGCGGGGGACAACAUUUGGAAACGAAUGCUAAUACCGCAUAAAAACUUUAAACACAAGUUUUAAGUUUGAAAGAUGCAAUUGCAUCACUCAAAGAUGAUCCCGCGUUGUAUUAGCUAGUUGGUGAGGUAAAGGCUCACCAAGGCGAUGAUACAUAGCCGACCUGAGAGGGUGAUCGGCCACAUUGGGACUGAGACACGGCCCAAACUCCUACGGGAGGCAGCAGUAGGGAAUCUUCGGCAAUGGACGAAAGUCUGACCGAGCAACGCCGCGUGAGUGAAGAAGGUUUUCGGAUCGUAAAACUCUGUUGGUAGAGAAGAACGUUGGUGAGAGUGGAAAGCUCAUCAAGUGACGGUAACUAACCAGAAAAGGACGGCUAACUACGU
rnacentral:rRNA from 1 species